GGUUCUAGCAUUUUAGACAGAGCUGUUAUUGAAGACAAUUUGUUAUCUACAAGCAAAUUAUUUAGUAAUAUUGCCUUUGAAGAACUUGGAGCUCUUCUGGAAAUCCCUGCAGCUAAGGCAGAAAAGAUAGCAUCACAAAUGAUAACAGAAGAACUGAUGAAUGGAUUCAUCGAUCAGAUUGAUGGGAUAGUUCACUUUGAAACAAGAGAAGCCCUGCCAACUUGGGACAAACAGAUCCAGUCACUUUGUUUCCAGGUGAAUAAACUCCUGGAAAAAAUCAGCCAGACGGCGCCAGAGUGGACGGCCCAGGCCAUGGAGGCCCAGAUGGCCCAGUGAGUCCUCCCGAGCGUGGGUGCACACUACAUCCUUCUCCACGUUGUCCAGGUCAACUUCACGCUCCAAAGCAUUUGCAUCCUGACGUUACUAUUUCAGUCCCUUUUAUGCCAGAUUCCAUUUAAAGCCGACAUUUGUAGAGCAAGAAGUGCAGCAUUUGGAAAUAAUGUAGUUCUUAUAUAUUCAGGUUCUCCAUGUAUCAAAUUAACUCAGAUGUUUUGAAGGCUUUUUCUUUAAACUGAGUGAAAUAUCUGUGGCUAAAAGGUUUGGGAUUUGUGAUAACUUUGUAGUCAUGUAAAAUUGAAGUGCUUGUGCCUCCAAAUGUGAUUAUUCUAAUAAACGGUGAA